UACGUAGGGUGCGAGCGUUGUCCGGAAUUAUUGGGCGUAAAGAGCUCGUAGGCGGUCUGUCGCGUCUGCUGUGAAAACCCGAGGCUCAACCUCGGGCCUGCAGUGGGUACGGGCAGACUAGAGUGCGGUAGGGGAGAAUGGAAUUCCUGGUGUAGCGGUGGAAUGCGCAGAUAUCAGGAGGAACACCGAUGGCGAAGGCGGGUCUCUGGGCCGUAACUGACGCUGAGGAGCGAAAAGCAUGGGGAGCGAACAGG
rnacentral:rRNA from 1 species